rnacentral:rRNA from 1 species
GAUGAACGCUGGCGGCGCGCCUAACACAUGCAAGUCGAACGGCACCUGCCUUCGGGCAGAAGCGAGUGGCGAACGGCUGAGUAACACGUGGAGAACCUGCCCCCUCCCCCGGGAUAGCCGCCCGAAAGGACGGGUAAUACCGGAUACCCCGGGGUGCCGCAUGGCACCCCGGCUAAAGCCCCGACGGGAGGGGAUGGCUCCGCGGCCCAUCAGGUAGACGGCGGGGUGACGGCCCACCGUGCCGACAACGGGUAGCCGGGUUGAGAGACCGACCGGCCAGAUUGGGACUGAGACACAGCCCAGACUCCUACGGGAGGCAGCAGUGGGGAAUCUUGCGCAAUGGGGGGAACCCUGACGCAGCGACGCCGCGUGCGGGACGGAGGCCUUCGGGUCGUAAACCGCUUUCAGUAGGGAAGAGUCAAGACUGUACCUGCAGAAGAAG